GGGUGGGGUUGUUGCUGGCCCUUCAAGGCAUGUGCACGCCUCAUUCAUCCACCCUUCUCUACCUCUGUGCACUUCUCAUGGGUUGGGUUGCGCCGUUUUAGAAUGGCAAAGGCCCCUCCCAUGUGUUUAAUUAUAUACGCAUGUUUGUUUUGAAUGUACAAUGUCAUGCAUGAAUGCAUAAAAUAUAACUUUCAGCAACGGAUCUCUUGGCUCUCGCAUCGAUGAAGAACGCAGCGAAAUGCGAUAAGUAAUGUGAAUUGCAGAAUUCAGUGAAUCAUCGAAUCUUUGAACGCACCUUGCGCUCCUUGGUAUUCCGAGGAGCAUGCCUGUUUGAGUGUCAUGGUAUUCUCAAUCCGCUUGUAUUUUUGUGCAAGCGGUAUUGGAUGUGGAGGUUUUGCCGGCGUUCUUUGAAUGCUGGCUCCUCUGAAAUGCAUUAGCUUGAAUAUGACCGAGCAUGUCUCAGCGUGAUAAUUGUCUACGUUGCGUGUGCAAGGCCGAUAUACAUUCUGGCUUCCAACCGUCCCCUUUGUGGACAACGCUCUGAAAAUCUGACCUCAAAUCAGGCAGGACUACCCGCUGAACUUAAGCAUAUCA
rnacentral:rRNA from 1 species